UGCAGUCCUGGCUUUUUUGAAAAAUGUUUUGUAUGAACUGAGGUCAUCAGAAGACCUACGCUGAGUAUUCUUGAAGAGCCAUUCAAACAGGAAAGCUGCAGGUUUGAGGCGAAGGUUCUCCAAGCUCCAGAAUCUUGGCCCUCACUUAUGCUCUCGAAGAUUCUCAAGGCACUAGGUGUUGACCACCGAGAGAUCCGCUUGACGCUGGGAGAAGGACGCAAACCUCCUCAGACCCAGGCCCCAGUCCACAGCCAGGCCCACAGGCGGCACACCUCUACUUCAUCCUGCAGCCCUGCCGGAAGUGAGGUGCGUCCGUCAGGUCCGUCCUUCCGGUCCACCGCCCGCCAACUUCCGGCGGCAGGUGGGCGCGCGCCUGGCAACGACCUUCUGCGCCGAGCGUCCGCAUAGCGUCGGCAGGUGGCGGCGGCGUGGGCGUGUGGAUGGAGGCCUCGGCCCCCGGCCGGGGGUGGCGGGGCUGGCGGCGGGCCCGCGUCGCAGGCUCCUGGGUCACCCCGGCCGCCACCCUCCUCCUCCUGUCCGCCUUCCUCGUGAGGUCGUCCCUGUCAGUUGAAUAUUUUGUUCGGUUACCAAGAGGUUUUCGCUUGACCCAGGAAACAGUGAAAAUAGUGGGAUCACCAAAUAAUCCAGAAGAAAUGUCUCACAGCUCGGGAGGCAGUGUCCAAAGUAGGGGCUUGACAGAGCUGAUUCCUCUGAAGGCCAUGAGGGAAGGAGCCUGUUGCAGUUGGCAUCUUCUCCCUACAGUGAGUGUAUAUGUCAUGCUCCAUCAAAAGAGUCCACAUGUGCUAUGUGUAACCAAGCGACUACGAAAUGCUGAACUGAUAGACCCAUCAUUCCAAUGGCAUGGGCCAAAAGGAAAAAUUAUUUCAGAAAACAGCACUGCACAAGUAACAUCCACAGGAAGCCUUGUAUUCCAGAACUUUGAUGAGAGUAUGAGUGGAGUUUACACAUGUUUCCUGGAGUAUAAACCUACUGUGGAAGAAAUUGUUAAAAGUCUUGAACUAAAAUAUAUUGUAUAUGCUUUUCGUGAACCUCAUUUUUAUUACCAGUUCACAGUACGAUAUCAUGCUGCUCCCUGCAAUAGUAUCUAUAAUAUUUCUUUUGAGAAGAAGCUUCUUCAGAUUUUAAGCAAGCUAGUUCUUGACCUUUCAUGUGAAAUUUCUUUACUUAAGUCUGAAUGCCAUCGUGUUAAAAUGCAAAAAGCUGGUUUGCAAAAUGAAUUGUUUUUUACGUUUUCAAUUUCAUCUCUAGACACUGAAAAAGGACCCAAGCCAUGUACAGACCAUCAGUGUGAAUCUUCCAGAAGACUAUCUAAGGCUAAAACUCUCAUAGAAAGAUUUUUUAAUCAACAAGUAGAAGCUAUUGGCAGACGUUCAGAACCAUUGCCUGAAAUAUACUAUAUUGAAGGUACCCUCCAAAUGGUUUGGAUCAAUCGCUGCUUUCCAGGGUAUGGAAUGAAUGUCCUGAAGCAUCCAAAAUGUCCUGAGUGCUGUGGCACUGUCUAAUUACAGCCUCAAUGGGGGUCUGGGCUUCAGCAUAACAACAUUAACAUCACAAGUGAUCUGCAGCCCUGGAUCUUAUAAUCCCCGUGAUGGAACUCACUGCCUUCAGUGCAACAGCAGCCUGGUGUAUGGAGCAAAAGCCUGUGUAUAGCAUUAAUCUUUUGUCAUUAAGUGGUUUAUUAAACACAAAAGUAUAUUUUGAAAUAUUAAAAUAUAAUGUCAGUAUUAUGCCAAAAUUAAAUAAUCAGAUUGUACCAAAAAAUGGCGUCAUCAUUUUAAUCAGACACUGUAUGAACAUCUUGUCAUCUUUAUCCUUUCAUCCCAGACCCACAUAUGACUCAAAAAUGUCUCUUGUAUCAUUGCAUAUUAAUGAUAGUUUCAAAUAUAUUGAAUUAAAUUAGCUCAAUAGCUUUAUCAGGAAUUUUAAAAUAUAUUCAAUUUAACUUCAUAUAUUCACCAGAUUUAGGACACUGUCCUUUUAUAACAAUUUUCAUUUUGCCUUUGAUUCAAUUUUAUAAAAUUUAGUUUUAUUUUAUCUUGACCUUUCAAAACUAGUUUUAAGGUUUUAAA